AUGAACGCUGGCGGCGUGCCUAACACAUGCAAGUCGAACGAAGCAUAACGGCUCGAUUUCUUCGGGAUUGGAAUUCUUAACUUAGUGGCGGACGGGUGAGUAACGCGUGAGCAAUCUGCCUUUCAGAGGGGGAUAACAGUCGGAAACGACUGCUAAUACCGCAUAAUGCAUUGAAUUCGCAUGUUUUUAAUGCCAAAGAUUUUAUCGCUGAAAGAUGAGCUCGCGUCUGAUUAGCUAGUUGGUGAGGUAACGGCCCACCAAGGCGACGAUCAGUAGCCGGACUGAGAGGUUGAACGGCCACAUUGGGACUGAGACACGGCCCAGACUCCUACGGGAGGCAGCAGUGGGGAAUAUUGCGCAAUGGGGGCAACCCUGACGCAGCAACGCCGCGUGAUUGAUGAAGGUCUUCGGAUUGUAAAAAUCUUUAAUCAGGGACGAAACAAAUGACGGUACCUGAAGAAUAAGCUCCGGCUAACUACGUG
rnacentral:rRNA from 1 species